GAUGAACGCUGGCGGCGUGCCUAAUACAUGCCAGUCGAGCGAACGGACGAGAAGCUUGCUUCUCUGAUGUUAGCGGCGGACGGGUGAGUAACACGUGGAUAACCUACCUGUAAGACUGGGAUAACUUCGGGAAACCGGCGCUAAUCCCGGAUGAUAUUUUGAACCGCGUGGGUCAAAAGUAAAAGUCGGUGUUGCUGUCACUUAUAGAGGGAUCCGCGCUGCAUUAGCUGGUUGGGAAGGUAACGGCUUACCAAGGCAACGAUGCAUAGCCGACCGGAGAGGGUGAUCGGCCACACUGGAACUGAGACACGGUCCAGACUCCUGAGGGAGGCAGCAGUAGGGAAUCUUCCGCAAUGGGCGAAAGCCUGACGGAACAACGCCGCGCGAGUGAUGAAGGUCUUCGGAUCGUAAAACUCUGUUAUUAGGUAAGAACAUAUGUGUAAGUAACUGUGCACAUCUUGACGGUACCGAAUCAGAAAGCCACGGCUAACUACGUG
rnacentral:rRNA from 1 species